rnacentral:tRNA from 1 species
GGCGGGGUGGUGUAGCGGACUAUCAUCGGUCGUUUGGGACGACCGGACCGCGGUUCAAAUCCGCGCCCUGCCA